AUUGAACGCUGGCGGCAGGCCUAACACAUGCAAGUCGAGCGGAUGAAGGGAGCUUGCUCCUGGAUUCAGCGGCGGACGGGUGAGUAAUGCCUAGGAAUCUGCCCGGUAGUGGGGGAUAACGUCCGGAAACGGGCGCUAAUACCGCAUACGUCCUGAGGGAGAAAGUGGGGGAUCUUCGGACCUCACGCUAUCAGAUGAGCCUAGGUCGGAUUAGCUAGUUGGUGGGGUAAAGGCCUACCAAGGCGACGAUCCGUAACUGGUCUGAGAGGAUGAUCAGUCACACUGGAACUGAGACACGGUCCAGACUCCUACGGGAGGCAGCAGUGGGGAAUAUUGGACAAAGGGCGAAAGCCUGAUCCAGCCAUGCGGCGUGUGUGAAGAAGGUCUUCGGAUUGUAAAGCACUUUAAGUUGGGAGGAAGGGCAGUAAGUUAAUACCUUGCUGUUUUGACGUUACCAACAGAAUAAGCACCGGCUAACUUCGUG
rnacentral:rRNA from 1 species